rnacentral:rRNA from 1 species
AACGAACGCUGGCGGCAUGCCUAACACAUGCAGGUCGAACGAGAUCUUCGGGUCUAGUGGCGCACGGGUGCGUAACGCGUGGGAAUCUGCCCUUUGGUUCGGAAUAACAGUUGGAAACGACUGCUAAUACCGGAUGAUGACGAAAGUCCAAAGAUUUAUCGCCAGAGGAUGAGCCCGCGUAGGAUUAGCUAGUUGGUGUGGUAAAGGCGCACCAAGGCGACGAUCCUUAGCUGGUCUGAGAGGAUGAUCAGCCACACUGGGACUGAGACACGGCCAGACUCCUACGGGAGGCAGCAGUGGGGAAUAUUGGACAAUGGGCGAAAGCCUGAUCCAGCAAUGCCGCGUGAGUGAUGAAGGCCUUAGGGUUGUAAAGCUCUUUUACCCGGGAUGAUAAUGACAGUACCGGGAGAAUAAGCUCCGGCUAACUCCGUGCCAGCAGCCGCCGUAA